CUGAGAGGGCCCUGAGGGCAGAGGGCGCUUCCUGAGACACGGAUAGGCUCACUGGCUGGCGGUGGUGUCACUGUGUCGCCCGGCGACAGAUACAGGGUGUUUGCUCUGGAAUCUGCCAACGACUCCCAUCCAGAUCCCGGCUGAGGGCUGGGCCCUGUUAGGCCGGGUCCCCACAGCUUCUCCAGGCACCUGGCACACGGGGAAUGAGUGAGUGACUCGGCCAGGAUGAAAGCUGGAGCCUCUGCACGGUCCAAGCAGGGAGGCGAUGGCUCGCGUCACAGUCCAAGCAGCCAGGCGACGGUCCUGGCUGACGGGCUCUGGACACAACGAGAAGUUGGCGUCUACACCCGGAAGAGGGCCCUCAUCAGGCCCCAACACGCCGGCACCCUCAUCUCAGACCUGUGGCCUCCAAAACAGGUCUUUGAAGAUGCAGUUAAGACAAGGCCGCACUGAAGUAGGGUGGACCCUAAAUCCGACGGCAGGUGCCUGAGAAGAAGAGGAGAGACAGAGACAGCAGAAUGACUCAGAGACGGAGGCAGAGACUGGGGCAGUGCACCUGCCAGGCCAGGAGGGCCAGAGGUUCCUGGCAACUCCAGAAGCAGGAGGGAGGCCGGGGGAGGGUCCUCCCUGGAGCUGCCAGAGGGAACCAGCCCUGCAGCGUCUUGAUUUUGGACAUUCGGCUCCAGAGAGAACAGAUUCUGUCACUCUAAGGCACCUGGUUUGUGGUACUUUGUUUAGGCAGCGGAGACCCCCAGCCCCAAAUAAACUCCCAGCACCCAAGU
rnacentral:lncRNA from 10 species